rnacentral:rRNA from 1 species
UAAGGAAUAUUGGACAAUGGACGCAAGUCUGAUCCAGCCAUGCCGCGUGAAGGAUGACUGCCCUCUGGGUUGUAAACUUCUUUUAUAGGGGAAGAAAGUUAUUUUUUAGGAUAUUUGACGGUACCCUAUGAAUAAGCACCGGCUAACUCCGUGCCAGCAGCCGCGGUAAUACGGAGGGUGCAAGCGUUAUCCGGAUUCACUGGGUUUAAAGGGUGCGUAGGCGGGUAUGUAAGUCAGUGGUGAAAUACCGGAGCUUAACUUCGGAACUGCCAUUGAUACUAUAUAUCUUGAAUAUUGUGGAGGUAAGCGGAAUAUGUCAUGUAGCGGUGAAAUGCUUAGAGAUGACAUAGAACACCGAUUGCGAAGGCAGCUUGCUACGCAAAUAUUGACGCUGAGGCACGAAAGCGUGGGGAUCAAACAGGAUUAGAUACCCUGGUAGUCCACGCCCUAAACGAUGAUUACUCGACAUUAGCGAUACACAGUUAGUGUCUGAGCGAAAGCAUUAAGUAAUCCACCUGGGAAGUACGACCGCAAGGUUGAAACUCAAAUGAAUUGACG